rnacentral:tRNA from 1 species
GUCUGGGUGGCUCAGUUGGUUAAGCACCCGACUUUGACUCAGGUCAUGAUCUCACAGUCCGUGAGUUCAAACCCCACUCCGGACU